AGAGUUUGAUCAUGGCUCAGAAUGAACGCUGGUCGGCAGGCCUAACACAUGCAAGUCGAACGGGAUCUUCGGAUCUAGUGGCGGACGGGUGAGUAACGCGUGGGAACGUGCCCUUUGCUUCGGAAUAGCCCCGGGAAACUGGGAGUAAUACCGGAUGUGCCCUUUGGGGGAAAGAUUUAUCGGCAAAGGAUCGGCCCGCGUUGGAUUAGGUAGUUGGUGGGGUAAUGGCCUACCAAGCCGACGAUCCAUAGCUGGUUUGAGAGGAUGAUCAGCCACACUGGGACUGAGACACGGCCCAGACUCCUACGGGAGGCAGCAGUGGGGAAUCUUAGACAAUGGGGGAAACCCUGAUCUAGCCAUGCCGCGUGAUCGAUGAGGGCCUUAGGGUUGUAAAGAUCUUUCAGAUGGGAAGAUAAUGACGGUACCAUCAGAAGAAGCCCCGGCUAACUCCGUGCCAGCAGCCGCGGUAAUACGGAGGGGGCUAGCGUUAUUCGGAAUUACUGGGCGUAAAGCGCACGUAGGCGGAUUAGAAAGUCAGAGGUGAAAUCCCAGGGCUCAACCUUGGAACUGCCUUUGAAACUCCUAGUCUUGAGGUCGAGAGAGGUGAGUGGAAUUCCGAGUGUAGAGGUGAAAUUCGUAGAUAUUCGGAGGAACACCAGUGGCGAAGGCGGCUCACUGGCUCGAUACUGACGCUGAGGUG
rnacentral:rRNA from 1 species